UGAUGUGGCUCAAUUGGCAGAGCACCUGAUUUGUAAUCAGGGGGUUGGGGGUUCGACUCCCUCCAUCAGC
rnacentral:tRNA from 1 species